AUUGAACGCUGGCGGCAUGCCUUACACAUGCAAGUCGAACGGCAGCACGGGAGCAAUCCUGGUGGCGAGUGGCGAACGGGUGAGUAAUAUAUCGGAACGUGCCCAGUCGUGGGGGAUAACGCAGCGAAAGCUGUGCUAAUACCGCAUACGAUCUAAGGAUGAAAGCGGGGGAUCGCAAGACCUCGCGCGAUUGGAGCGGCCGAUAUCAGAUUCGCUAGUUGGUGGGGUAAAGGCCCACCAAGGCGACGAUCUGUAGCUGGUCUGAGAGGACGAACAGCCACAAGGGAACUGAGAAACGGUCCAGACUCCUACGGGAGGCAGCAGUGGGGAAUUUUGGACAAUGGGCGCAAGCCUGAUUCAGCAAUGCCGCGUGCAGGAUGAAGGCCUUCGGGUUGUAAACUGCUUUUGUACGGAACGAAACGGCCCUUUCUAAUACAGGGGGCUGAUGACGGUACCGUAAGAAUAAGCACCGGCUAACUACGUGCCAGCCGCCGCAGUAACAC
rnacentral:rRNA from 1 species